rnacentral:tRNA from 1 species
GCGCCGGUGGUGUAAUGGCGUAGAGCAUUCCCGCCCGGUUAGAGGGAGGUGCGGGUNNGUUAGAGGGAGGUGCGGGUUCGAGUCCCGCCUGGCGCU